GGGAAUAUAGUUCAGUAGGUAGAGUAUUUGCCUGGUAUGCACAAAGCCCUGGGUUCAAUCCCUAGCACCA
rfam:Ictidomys tridecemlineatus contig068220, whole genome shotgun sequence.